UACAGAGGGGGCAAGCGUUGUUCGGAAUUACUGGGCGUAAAGGGCGCGUAGGCGGCCUUCUAAGUCGAACGUGAAAUCCCUGGGCUCAACCCAGGAACUGCGUCCGAUACUGGGAGGCUUGAAUCCGGGAGAGGGAUGUGGAAUUCCAGGUGUAGCGGUGAAAUGCGUAGAGAUCUGGAGGAACACCCGUGGCGAAGGCGGCUCCCUGGUCCGAUUCUGACGCUGAGGCGCGAAAGCCAGGGGAGCAAACGGG
rnacentral:rRNA from 1 species